AACAUUUAUAUGAGGUGCUAGCAACAGGAUCAACAUUUCGACAUUGGGUAAAUGAACAGAGAAUAUGGAUGAUGAAGUCAGUCACAUCUCACUUAUAUGGUAGUGUGGAUGCUUUCAUGAAGAAACUUGGUAUGAGAGAAGCCAGUUUCUCCCAACAAAUAAAGUCGACGACGUUGAACAACUCAAGCUUUACAAUAUGGGAGUAUUUGAUUUCCAAACAUCACUACAAUUUCUUGCUCCAAUGGUUGCCCUAGUCAUCUUGAACAUGGCUUCGUUUGCUGUGGGGAUUGCUAGAGGGAUCUUUGUGGGGGAGUUGGACAAGAUGUUCAUACAAAUCUUCAUAGCCUUUUAUGUCAUAGUAAUGAACUACCCUAUUAUUGAAGGAAUGCUAAUAAGGAAAGACAAAGGAAGCAUUCCACUAUCUGUUACCCUACUAUCUGCCUUAUUUUCCCUCAUUGUCUAUUUUUUUUGGUUCUAUUAGGUCUCGGGUUCAAGAUUUGGGAGCAGCCUCUCCAUAAAUGGGGGUAAGGUUAGCCGACAUUCACCUCUCCCAGACCCUGCGUAAAGCGGGAGCCUUGUGCACUGGGUACGACCUAUUAUAUUCAUGUAGCAAGGUCAUGACCUAUAUAUGUGUAUACAUUUUUCUGAUUUAAUAAUAUGAUUCCUAACUGUUUUUAUUUUUCUACUCUUUGCUUCUGUUACUUCUUAAUCAUUGGGAUAUUGUAAAUGUAGGGGUGUCUAAAAGAUAUACUCUUUUCUUCUCUUGGCUAAGAGUUCUACUUCAGCCUUCAGCCCCCAAAGUAAUAGGAAUGCAUGAAUAGAGCCAUAAUUUCGAAGAAAGAAACGCCAUUAAAUUGUCUUUGACUAGUGAUCAGAGUAAAGUUACCAUAAACUAAGCCCAAUAAGUUUUGGCAGCAACAUUAAUAGGUAAGAACAUGUAUCUCCAUAGUCCAAGUUCUGGAGGUCCUUUUUCCAAAUCGCUCUUUCAUUUAAUCAAUAAUAGAAUAUGUUUCCAAAUCACCCUAAUGGUCCAAUAAAUUUAGGAAAAUAAUAAAC
rnacentral:lncRNA from 1 species